UAGAGUUUGAUCAUGGCUCAGAAUGAACGCUGGCGGCAGGCCUAACACAUGCAAGUCGAGCGCGCCCUUCGGGGUGAGCGGCGGACGGGUGAGUAACGCGUGGGAACGUGCCCUUCUCUACGGAAUAGUCUCGGGAAACUGGGGGUAAUACCGUAUACGCCCUUCGGGGGAAAGAUUUAUCGGAGAGGGAUCGGCCCGCGUUGGAUUAGCUAGUUGGUGAGGUAACGGCUCACCAAGGCGACGAUCCAUAGCUGGUUUGAGAGGAUGACCAGCCACACUAGGACUGAGACACGGCCCAGACUCCUACGGGAGGCAGCAGUGGGGAAUCUUAGACAAUGGGCGCAAGCCUGAUCUAGCCAUGCCGCGUGAGCGAUGAAGGCCUUAGGGUUGUAAAGCUCUUUCGCCAGGGAAGAUAAUGACUGUACCUGGUAAAGAAGCCCCGGCUAACUCCGUGCCAGCAGCCGCGGUAAU
rnacentral:rRNA from 1 species